UUUUCCGUGUUGAGACUUGUUUAGACAAGGAAUUUUGCGGAAUUACCAGUUUUGCCUGACAGUCCUUCCACGCGGCAAUGGCGUAAGACGUGUUGAACUUUCAGGCAGUUAGCGGGCUGCGGGUUGCAGCCUGGCCGGUAAAGGGAAGCUUCCGGAGAAACAAUCCCGGUCAUUCCUCUGAUAAUUGCGCUGUAUUUCCACCUGAAAUACAGGCUACCGACACUCUGCGCCUCUUAAGCGUUCGACAACCGGGAGGUUGACGGCGCGAACAGUCACGAGGCCAUCGGUUCACUCCCGGUCAGCGUCACCAUGCCCGCAGCUUUGUCGUCAA
rfam:Cronobacter sakazakii ATCC BAA-894, complete genome.